rnacentral:piRNA from 1 species
AACGCUUAGUGAGUAAGAAACUUAAUUUU